GCAGGCUGAGCAGGUUUGUGUUCUCUUCAGUAUGUUAUGGCUUCGGGCCUUGGAGGUUGAGGCCCUGGAAGCUGGAGGAAUUCCGAGGCCAGCCGGUGAGGAAUGGCAAUGUGGACCUCUGUGAUGGGACAACUGGUGGGAUCUCACAUCCAGUUCUGUGUCAAAGGAGGAUGAAGACUAAGGACUCAUGAGGAAGCUGGAUUACUGGACGAGAGCAAUGUUCUAGAAGGGAAGACCAGAAAAUGAGAUGGUGGAGUUUAAUAAGGCUGGACAGACAGUUUUGAAAUCACUGUGGUUGCAUGCUUUCAUUUGGAUGGCUUGCCUUGGACACAAAUGGUUUGAAUAAAGAAAGGUAUUACACAUGGAUCCCCUCAGUUGAAGGCACUGUGCACACAUAACGAUGGGUCUUUCUGAAUUUCUGGUCCUUCUGAAUUUCAAGGGCUCCUGUGACAAGUAGACAUGGCAGUGACUUCACCAUUUUGUUUCUGAGGUGCCUGGAUGGAGACUCAAAUAGAAGAUGGUGUCAGAUACAUUGUGUUGUCAAGAUUUUACCAUUAAAGUGUGUUAUAAACAUGAAGUGUGCAUUUUUUUUUUGGCUU